GGUGACGGUUGAAAAGUGGGAAGUUGGUACCGAUUCCGAGACCUUGGUCUAACUGAAAUACAUCCCUCUCCCCAACAACUGCACCAUUUACGAACUUUGUAUUAUCACGGGUGAUAUUUGCUUGCGCAAAUGCCACUUUAUCAAUGCCAGUACCUCCAAGGGUUGUUGGAGGUCCAUCCAUGCUUAAGCCACCACUAGGCAACGGACGAGAUCCAUGAGUGCAUACAGUAGUAGUUUCAUCGCGAGUGGUAAUUU
rnacentral:misc_RNA from 1 species